CAUCUCUGGGCUUCCAUUCCCUGCCUGGAAGCAAAGGACCAAACCGGGAUUCCCACCAAGCCUCUGGCUCCUUUCCGCCUGCUUCACUUAGAUGUGCACAUUCCAAGCAUAUCUCUAAGGUGGAUUCUGGGCUAGAAAGUGCAUCGGGCCCUUCUGGAAAUGGCCACUUAGCCUACUAAAGGACCUUGCCCUUCUGUAUGGACUCCCCCCUAUUCUGACAAACCUUGACUUGUGUCAAACACUUCAUGGCUGUGGAGGAGGCAGUAUGGACGACUGAGCUGAGCAUAGGGGAUCACAUCACGCCAUUCCUCACUGCUGCAGACUCGGGGCUUCUUGCUGCUGGUUCCUGACUCCAUCUCGUCACACGUAAGCCAGAGAGGGAGAGAGAGCUCUACCUAAGGAGGCAGGGUCUGGGUGGGGUUGAAUAGGGUGACUCCUGGUCCAAAGGACCCACAGAAAGGAGAUGAUAUUCUGAUCUUUACACAGCCCUCAUCUAUCCACACUAGCAUAGGAGCCCCGGUUUGUGACCCUGGAACCUGACUUAGGAGGAGGUCAGGCUGAAGGUCAGCAUGUAUGUGUGCAGUACAAGGCUGGCACAGGGCAGCAAGGACAAGGUCACAGGCUGCCUGCCAGCAUCUUAAGGCAGGUGUCACUGAAGCAAGAUGGGCCAAGCAUGGGCAUUGGUACCACGGUCUCCAGGCAUUGAUCAGAGACUACAUCUGUCUGGAGCUUCUUUUGAAAAGUCCAUUCCCAGCCUUCUCUGUGCCCACUUGUCCUGGAACAAAUCCUUAUGCAUUUAUCUUGGGACCAAAACCACCCUCACCCAGGCCUGCCUGCUCCGGAAGUCCAGCAGGCCAGGGGUUCUUCCAGCUCGCCCUCUGUGCCGCUGCCCCCGUGGCCUCAUUACCCCUCAUAGGUAUGUUUUGUGUAUGGAGUGAUUUCUGUCGCACUCCUAAAUACAAGCCCGGAAAAGGGCAGCUC
rnacentral:lncRNA from 1 species